rnacentral:rRNA from 1 species
UACGUAGGGUGCGAGCGUUAAUCGGAAUUACUGGGCGUAAAGCGUGCGCAGGCGGUGAUGUAAGACCGAUGUGAAAUCCCCGGGCUUAACCUGGGAACUGCAUUGGUGACUGCAUCGCUCGAGUAUGGCAGAGGGGGGCAGAAUUCCACGUGUAGCAGUGAAAUGCGUAGAGAUGUGGAGGAACACCGAUGGCGAAGGCAGCCCCCUGGGUCAAGAUUGACGCUCAUGCACGAAAGCGUGGGGAGCAAACAGG